GAGUCCAGGACAUGUCAGGCUGAAGCUUGAAUGCGCCAAGAAACGGAUGAGGGCAGCUUGGUCCCCACUCCUUCAAAGGAAAUUGGAAAACAGGAAACGCAUUGGGGUGUCGCGUCUGUAACUUAGCAACAACUGAACCGAUGACUUCACAUCCUUUGUCGGCAACAGCUGGGGGUGAAAUUGGCCCCCCGUCAGCAGCCGCGGGCUCGGAACCCUGAUGACUUCAUAAUAUCUGGGUUCGGAGUCAGAACAGCUGGGAGUCCAUGGUGAUCCAGGCUUGUGUAACCACUUUGUCACCGCCUUUCAAAGACACGCUCACGUAAUGUACACCUACUGACAGUUUGGCUACACCAAAAAUAAUAUCAGCAAUUACCAAAGACCAAAUAUUAUACAGUAAGAAUAUGACGACGCGGACUGAUAUCUUUUUUUUCUCUUCUUU